rnacentral:lncRNA from 1 species
UUCGAAAUGAAAACAAACUUAAGAAUUGCAGCAUAAACGUGUGAAGGUUUCCAUAAAAUACAUGUACAUUUUUACACAUCAUACAUGUAGGUGUAGUUCGAAAUGACAACAAAGGAUCACAGUCUACACGUGUAUAUAUAAAGAAUACAAAGGCAACACAGUUUAACUCGAAGAUAUUGCCAAAUUAUAAGUAGUUAUUUAAAAACUCAUAAGAAAAAUGUAAACAUGAUAAAGGCUUCAAUAAAAUCGAAACCCAAAUCUUCUGUCACAUGUAAGCUACCAAUCUGAAUACAUGCAUGAAGUCGUGGAUGGGGUUUACUGAAUAGAAAAUAAUGGACCAAAAAAAAAUAAGGAUUUUAAAAAUAUUAAUACAGUAACGAAUCACCAACCUCGUGUAUUGUCUUUCAGAUACAAACACAUUUCUUUAGAUUGUGAAAUUUUACAAAGG